UGUCAUCAGCCCAGAACUUUCUUAAUCUUUUCUGAGAGAAACUACGUCAGUUCCUUGGGCUUCUUUCAAGAAAGUAAAAUUAUUUCCACAGAGAAGAAACAAUCAUUUUCUAAGCAAUAAGGUUAUUGAACUACUUUGGCUGAGUAAAUAACUCUGUUUGCUUCAGGGCACAUUCAGAGAAAUUUCCAAUUCUUGUCAUGGAUUAUGACAUGUUUUCCCCUUGAUAAGACAACAGAAGUGUGUAUUGGACAUUUAAGCAGAUUUCAGUGUGGAAGUUCUCAACACGCUGAUUUUCCCAGGACUGCUUCUGGAUGGAUCAAGAAUCCUGCUGGAGCUUGAGAGUCCUGAAGAAGCUGCCUCUUCCUUGACCCCACUGCUACUCUGUACAUGGCUGGAUCUCUUGGAAAUUGCCAACCCUGGAGAGAAGUGUCUUUGACUUCUCUCCUGGCCUGGACAAACCACAGAGGAAACUUAAGCUCUACCCUGGGCAUGAUGAACUCCAAUACGGAGUAAAUGUGCCUUUGCUGCCUGCCAGCUGCCAGCUUCCACUUCCUCCCCACAAGACAAAUGCAUAUGAAGACGGUAUGCGCUCGUCUGGCCUCAUUUAGGCAAAGAAGCCAACAUAACACAGAGACUGAGACUCUGAGGAAUGUGAUAUGGAGAUGGAAAAAUGGGGUCUUGCUCUGUCACCGAUGCCGGAGGUCAGCGGUGCAAUCUCAGCUCACUCCAACCUUCACCGCUUGGGCUCAAGUGAUUCUCCCACCUCAGCCUCCUAAGUCGCUGGAACCACAG
rnacentral:lncRNA from 10 species